rnacentral:rRNA from 1 species
AGAGUUUGAUCCUGGCUCAGAUUGAACGCUGGCGGCAGGCCUAACACAUGCAAGUCGAACGGUAACAGGAAGAAGCUUGCUUCUUUGCUGACGAGUGGCGGACGGGUGAGUAAUGUCUGGGAAACUGCCUGAUGGAGGGGGAUAACUACUGGAAACGGUAGCUAAUACCGCAUAACGUCGCAAGACCAAAGAGGGGGACCUUCGGGCCUCUUGCCAUCGGAUGUGCCCAGAUGGGAUUAGCUAGUAGGUGGGGUAACGGCUCACCUAGGCGACGAUCCCUAGCUGGUCUGAGAGGAUGACCAGCCACACUGGAACUGAGACACGGUCCAGACUCCUACGGGAGGCAGCAGUGGGGAAUAUUGCACAAUGGGCGCAAGCCUGAUGCAGCCAUGCCGCGUGUAUGAAGAAGGCCUUCGGGUUGUAAAGUACUUUCAGCGGGGAGGAAGGGAGUAAAGUUAAUACCUUUGCUCAUUGACGUUACCCGCAGAAGAAGCACCGGCUAACUCCGUGCCAGCAGCCGCGGUAAUACGGAGGGUGCAAGCGUUAAUCGGAAUUACUGGGCGUAAAGCGCACGCAGGCGGUUUGUUAAGUCAGAUGUGAAAUCCCCGGGCUCAACCUGGGAACUGCAUCUGAUACUGGCAAGCUUGAGUCUCGUAGAGGGGGGUAGAAUUCCAGGUGUAGCGGUGAAAUGCGUAGAGAUCUGGAGGAAUACCGGGUGGCGAAGCGGCCCCCUGGACGAAGACUGACGCUCAGUGCGAAAGCGUGGGGAGCAAACAGGAUAGAUACCCUGGUAGUCCACNCNGUAAACGAUGUCGACUUGGAGGUGUGCCCUUGAGCGUGNUUCCGGAGCUAACGCGUUAAGUCGA